rnacentral:rRNA from 1 species
CCUACGGGUGGCAGCAGUGGGGAAUAUUGGACAAUGGGCGAAAGCCUGAUCCAGCCAUGCCGCGUGUGUGAAGAAGGCCUUCGGGUUGUAAAGCACUUUCAGUGGGGAAGAAAGCCUUGGGGCUAAUACCCUCGAGGAAGGACAUCACCCACAGAAGAAGCACCGGCUAACUCCGUGCCAGCAGCCGCGGUAAUACGGAGGGUGCGAGCGUUAAUCGGAAUUACUGGGCGUAAAGCGCGCGUAGGCGGUCUGAUAAGCCGGUUGUGAAAGCCCCGGGCUCAACCUGGGAACGGCAUCCGGAACUGUCAGGCUAGAGUGCAGGAGAGGAAGGUAGAAUUCCCGGUGUAGCGGUGAAAUGCGUAGAGAUCGGGAGGAACACCAGUGGCGAAGGCGGCCUUCUGGACUGACACUGACGCUGAGGUGCGAAAGCGUGGGUAGCAAACAGGAUUAGAUACCCUAGUAGUC